rnacentral:rRNA from 1 species
GAUGAACGCUAGCUACAGGCUUAACACAUGCAAGUCGAGGGGUAACGAGAGGAAAGCUUGCUUUCCUUGUCGACGACCGGCGCACGGGUGAGUAACGCGUAUCCAACCUGCCCCCAACUAAGGAAUAACCUUGCGAAAGUAAGACUAAUACCUUAUAAUUUCCUCAGAUGACAUCUGACGAGGAAUAAAGAUUUAUCGGUUGUGGAUGGGGAUGCGUCUGAUUAGCUUGUUGGCGGGGUAACGGCCCACCAAGGCAACGAUCAGUAGGGGUUCUGAGAGGAAGGUCCCCCACAUUGGAACUGAGACACGGUCCAAACUCCUACGGGAGGCAGCAGUGAGGAAUAUUGGUCAAUGGGCGAAAGCCUGAACCAGCCAAGUAGCGUGCAGGAUGACGGCCCUAUGGGUUGUAAACUGCUUUUAUACAGGAAUAAGGUCAGCCACGUGUGGUUAUUUGUAGGUACUGUAUGAAUAAGGACCGGCUAAUUCCGUGCCAGCCGCCGCAGUAA